UUCACUCCUCUGGUUAGUGAACAUCCACUGCCAAUGGCAAGCGUUCUGCCCUGGCUUCGAUGACGCCGCCGCCUCCUAGAUCCAUUGGGUUGCAGCAAUGACAAACCCGCCAUUCCUGGCCUCAAUGAUGACCCCGAGGCAGGUGUUACGGAGGGGCAACUCUUCUAGAUCUAUGACCAGGUCACGCCCGUGGCUUCCUUGCGCAUCUGCCACAAAGUUGCUUGCAGGUCGUGUGUCUACGACUACAUCGAUUUCCACCCCAAGAGGACGGUGAGUGUCUUGGUCUUUUUUACUUGUUCGUUUGGGUUUGAUCUGCUACCUUUAGCAUGCAUGCUCACGGAGAUAUAAUGCUUUAGGUAUUUUGGGAUCUAAUAGGUCAGAUCUCAUCAUCCUUCUGUGAAUGGAACUUGAAGUAGCCAUAGCCAUGGGACCUGAUAGCAACGUCAUGGUAGAUGCCCAGGGACUCCACAGAUGUGACCUAAUAGGAGAUGGAGGAGAGAUGCCCCUCUGCGACGCCUGCCUCAAGGCCACCCACAUAUAGGGAAGCUGUUGUGGCAGCUACUAGCUCUACUACAAGUCCAUGAGUGCAUCACCUUCAUGAUAAGCCACUACAUUCCCAUCCAAGUUAUGUAAUAGAUCUUGUUUUGAGAUUUUUUUUACUAGAUCUCUUGCUGAAUUCGUCUGUUAUGCAUGCUUGUUUAUGCUUUAUUGGGCAUAUCUACAAAAUAAUGAAGAGUGUGCGAUUCUGGAACAAGGUGUUGUUGCUUUGAAGCGAGAAGAAUUGGCACAUCAUGUUGGUGGAUGCACGGAGCCAAGAAAUCUUGUGUUGAGGAUCGAGGCGAGUAACACUGGAGAAAAUGAGGAACAAGAAGUGGGUGAAGGUGAACCGAUGGAGAAAGACUGGACGAGGAACGAUGCAAUGGAGUUUUCUGAAUGAUGAUGCUAGUGAUCGAAAACAUUUUGCUUGGGAUGAUUGUGAACCCAAGUCAACUUGCAGUAGAUUUGGAUCCAUUAGCUUUUGUUGUUAGCAGUUGAAACCAGUUUUAGGCUAUGUUCUUGCACCGGGAUGUUUUUUGUGCAUUUGUUGUUUCGUAAUCCCUUGAUAGUGGAACCUGAUCCAUUUUCUAGGAUUGUUUCGUAAUCCCUUAAUAUUGGAACCCGGUCCAUUUUCUAGGAUCAUAUGAAAAAAAGGUCAUUGCCGCAACCAGAAAUGUUUUGAU
rnacentral:lncRNA from 1 species